GCUUGGAAGCAGCCAUUCAUUUAAAGAGUGCGUAACAGCUCACUAGUCGAGCGGGGCGGCGUGGAUAAUAAUCGGGCAUUAAGAGUAUCACCGAAGCUAUGGACUUAGUGUAAUACACUGAGUGGUAGGGGAGCAUUCCAACGGCGUUGAAGCAGUGUUGUGAAGCAUUGUGGAGCUUUUGGAAGCGCAAAUGUAGGCAUAAGUAACGAUAAUGCAGGCGAGAAACCUGCACGCCGAUAGACUAAGGAUUCCCGGUCAACGCUAAUCGGACCGGGGUCAGUCGGGACCUAAGAUGAAGCCUGAAGGCGUAGUCGAUGGACAAUUGGUUAAUAUUCCAAUACUGUUAUAAUUGGAGACGGAGAGACAGAGAAGUGACAGCAACGCGUACUGACGGAAUAGUACGUUAAAGGGUGUAGAUAUAUUAGGGGUUAAUAGCCUUUAUUAUUCGAACCUGAUAGUACCACAAGGUUUCGGCUGCGUGGAUAGUUUGUGUAAUCUUGCUCUCGAGAAAAUCUUCUAUCAUUAACGAUUAUAAUACCCGUACCUAAACCGACACAGGUAGUCAAGGAGAAUAUCCUAAGGCGCUCGAGUGAUUCAUGGCUAAGGAACUAGGCAAAUUCGAUCUGUAACUUCGGAAUAAAGAUCCCCCUUUAGCGAGGGGCGCAGUUAAAAGGCCCAAGCGACUGUUUAGCAAAAACAUAGGACUCUGCUAAUUCGAAAGAAGAUGUAUAGGGUCUGACACCUGCCCGGUGCUGGAAGGUUAAGAGGAGAUGUCAUCGCAAGAGAAGCAUUGAAUUGAAGCCCCAGUAAACGGCGGCCGUAACUAUAACGGUCCUAAGGUAGCGAAAUUCCUUGUCGGGUAAGUUCCGACCUGCACGAAUGGUGUAACGAUCUGGGCACUGUCUCAGCCACGAGCUCGGUGAAAUUGUAGUUCCGGUGAAGAUGCCGGAUACCCGCAACGGGACGGAAAGACCCCGUGAACCUUUACUAUAGCUUAGCAUUGAUUUUGGGUAAGUGAUGUGUAGGAUAGGUCGGAGACUAUGAAUCGGUUUCGUCAGGAAUCGAGGAGUCGCUGUUGAAAUACGACCCUUUACUUAUCUGGACUCUAACCUUUUCGGAGGGACAUUGCUUGGUGGGUAGUUUGACUGGGGUGGUCGCCUCCAAAAGUGUAACGGAGGCUUCUAAAGGUACCCUCAGGCCGAUUGGUAACCGGUCGUAGAGUGUAAUGGCAUAAGGGUGCUUGACUGGGAGACAAACAAGUCGAUCAGGUAGGAAACUAGAGCAUAGUGAUCCGGUGGUUCCGCAUGGAAGGGCCAUCGC
rnacentral:rRNA from 1 species